rnacentral:rRNA from 1 species
CCUACGGGUGGCAGCAGUGAGGAAUAUUGGUCAAUGGACGCAAGUCUGAACCAGCCAUGCCGCGUGCAGGACGACGGCCCUAUGAGUUGUAAACUGCUUUUGUACGAGGGUAAAUCCCGAUACGUAUAUCGGGUUGAAAGUACCGUACGAAUAAGGACCGGCUAACUCCGAGCCAGCAGCCGCGGUAAUACGGAGGAUUCAAGCGUUAUCAGGAUUUAUUGGGCUUAAAGGGAGCGUAGGCGGUUCGAUAAGAUAGAGGUGAAAUCCCGGGGUUCAACUCCGGCACUGCCGCUGAUACUGUCGGGCUAGAGUUUAGUUGAGGUGGGCAGAAUGCAUGGGGUAGCGGUGAAAUGCAUAGAGAUCAUAAAGAACACCGAUUGAGGAGGCAGCUUACCAAACUGAGACUGACGUUGAGGCGCGAAAGCGUGGGGAGCAAACAGGAUUAGAUACCCAGGUAGUC